rnacentral:hammerhead_ribozyme from 15 species
AACUAGUCAUGAGUUAAUGCCGCUUCUCUGAUGAGGACAUGGCAGGCCGAAAUUAGUU